CUCACAAAUAAAUUUACAAUCACUGGUUCAUCACAAAUAAAAAAAACCUGUGGCUCAUCAAUGGCUCAUGCUCAAGAUAAAUUAUAAUCAUCAUGAUUCAUAAACUUCUAGAUCCAUGGAUUUAGAGCAUUAAAAAUGAAGAUGAAAGGAAAUAAAAUAGAGUUGUUCUUGCAACUAAAUAAUAAUAAUAUACGUCUGUUUAGAUUACCAUACCCGGAACUGUAAAUCUAGUAUUAUUGGUGGGGACUGCUUUAGGAGAAAACCAACCGGAAACUAUGGUUUGUGCAGCUGUGUUUUGGCUCUAGUGUUAAUGUUGUAGAGAAUGAGAAGAAAGGUUAAAAGAGACAGGUUGUGUAGUAGAGAAAGAGAGAUACACGGUAUCAUAUAUGUGAUGGAUUGAGUAACAGUGCAAGUGUGUCAGAAUAUAAAGUCAAAAUAUUAGAUUAAUCCCACGCCGAAGGCUGUGUUCAAAUAAAAAAUUGUGUUCAGUUAGUAGCAUGUCAAAUCACUAGAGUUAGAGUGAGAGUGUGUGAGUAUUGUAGGAUGUUAGAGUCUAGGGUGUCUGGUGUUAAGAGUCUAGGGUGUCAAGUGAAGUGAAAGUCAUCUAUAUUAUAUUAAUUUUUUUUUUAAAAUUUGGGGGCUACGUGAGUAUUGGGGUGCAAUUUCAGUAAAAGUUUUGGAGAAAAUACCGCCCCUCUACCUUCUAUACAGUUCCACCUCUGGUGGAGAUGUUGUUAUUUCUGUUCACGGAUUGAUUUUAACAUUCAUUUUUCUGUGCACGUUGAUGAAUGCCCCGAGUAAACAUUCUCCUGUAUGAUAGUUGUUAUUUUUAUUUUUUUGAAAAAAAAAAUAACAGGUUCAAGUUCUUUGGUUUUUUUAUUAAAUCCAUGGGAUGCGUGCUCGUUUAUGAAGUAUAUUUCUUGCACAUUGGCUUUCACAGAAUGCAAUGACUCGUUUAGUAUAUUUUGAAGUUCAUAUUGUAUACAGGCGUUUGUAUAAUAUGUUUGGAUUUUUUAAUUCUUAUAAAAUCUUUCUGUUUAGUUCUUUUUUUUCCCCUUCAUCUUGGGGGUGAGGAGGGUUGACAAACAAUCAUGUUCAUUAAUAGAUGGGCUGCACUAUAUUGCAUUGCUUGGAAAAUUUUCAAAUACAAAUGCUAUUCUUGGACUUUAAUUUCAUAUGUGAAUUAACUUAUCAAAAAAAAAGGAAAAAAAAAAAAUUCAUAUGUGAAUUACUUAAAUGAAAAAUCACUUAAAAUAUAAUGCAUCUCAAUUGGCAUGACUGAAAAUGAUACAAUGUUUUGUAAGUUUGAAGAUGUUAGCACUCAAGAUGAAGAACAUUUUUCAUUUUCGAAACGUAUUAAGUUUGUAUGUGUGUAAAACUCAUUUGUCUUCUCAAUUAUAAUAACAUUUGCUUACGAAAUAGUAAAAAUAAUAAUGUUUAGUCAAGGAACUUCUUGGUAGAAACAGAACUAAAAGCCUUGGCCACAGAGAAAUUUUACAAAAGUAAGGUAAGUUUGUACUUUGUAAUAUUACUUUGUAAAACCUCUUUGUGCAAGUAACAAUUCUUCUUUUACAACAAAAUGUGAUUACUGCAAAAAGCUUUCAAUUGUCAAUUGUGUAGUGUGUCAGGGAAGGGGCAUCAUAGUACCACCUGAAGAGCCAAGAAACAGAAGUGAAAGCUAUUUGGUGUCUCUUGCAACAAAAUAAGUUUCAAUUGUAAGUUUUCCCUAACGAAGAUUUAUUUGACUCUUUGUGAUAUGCUCCCCCCACUGCAGAACAGUCAAUUGAUCCCCACGAUCCCCCACUUAUCAUUGGAUUUCAGCUUCUCUUCUUUCCAGUUCUGUUUCAAAGCUCUAGGUUGGAACUUGAGGAUUCAAGCCGGGUCCGGUUGUUUCAAUGUAAUGCUUCGGAAAUAAAUGGUAUGCACAGUAGAACCUGCAAUGAAAAUCUGUUAUGACCCUCCAUGGCAAUGAAGACCAGGGUAGCUGUUGGCACUUGGCAAGGGGUGGAGAAGAGCAAGCUGAGUAUGAAGGGCUAAACUGGAACCAAUACUAUAAAGUUGCAUCAAUAUUUCAACCUUGAGGACAAGGUUCUUUGAAGGGGUGGAUAAUGUAAUGAACCCAAUUAAGUUGGGCCGAACUUGAUGGGCCUCCAAAUUAGUUGUUACCAUUUUAUUGUAUUUGAGUUGUUAAUUUGUUAGUGGCCCGUGGGGCUUAGGUAGUGGAGAAGGAAAUCAGUCCAUUUUGGUUAGAGUCGAUUAGAGGUGCUCUAAGUAUAUGUACUGAGUCGUCCUUGCGGGAGGGGUAUCUGGAAUCGAUUAUUGUUGAAACAGUUUGUAUUUUCAUUUGGGAGGAAUUGGGGAUCUCGAAUACCCCAAGGCGUAACCA